rnacentral:rRNA from 1 species
CCCUUAGAUGUUCUGGGCCGCACGCGCGCUACACUGAUGCAUUCAACGAGUCUAAAACCUGGUCUGAUAGGGCUGGGUAAUCUUUUGAAUGUGCAUCGUGAUUGGGAUAGAUGAUUGCAAUUUUUCAUCUUCAACGAGGAAUGCCUAGUAAACGCAAGUCAUCAGCUUGCAUUGAUUACGUCCCUGCCCUUUGUACACACCGCCCGUCGCUCCUACCGAUUGAAUGAUCCGAUGAAUAUCAUGGAUUGAGGAUUAUAGCAGGUUCGCCUGUCUUGAUCUUCGAGAAGUGAAGUAAAUCUUAUCAUUUAGAGGAAGGAGAAGUCGUAACA